rnacentral:lncRNA from 1 species
CCGGGAAGCUGCAGGAAUGUGAUGCAUCUAGACACUUCAUGGUGAGGUAACUAUGAAUGACCUGCUUUUCUUCGUUUACAUUUGACUCAGUAUCAUUUGAAUACUGCGCUUUAUGCGUGAUAUUGCCUUAUUGCUUUUACAACACCCAGAAGACUAGAAGAGCCAGCAGGUCUCUGCCCUCAAGAGUUUGUUUUAUCUGGGAGAAAAUGAGUGGAAGUGUUGUGGAUCCACAGACAACCCCUGAGCUCCAGGACUCCGAGGAAAGAGAAGGAACUGGGAGGUCAGGGGCUCAAUGGAAACAAGUUGAGAGCAGCACGAUAGUCCUUGUGUCAUGGUCCUUUCCAGCUUUGCUCUUCUCCCACCUCCACAAACAGGACUCUAUUGAAGUUGUGGUUUUGGUCACAAAUGUCAAACCCAUUCCCAUACUGCUUUGAAAAAGAGGACUUCUUUAUCAACCUUAGCAGAGCUACUAUUCAAGAAACCAUUCUUGAAAGAUCUACAGCAGACUUUGAAAAUCACCCAAGCAUCUUUUUGUUAAUUUAAUUACUCCUCUAUUGAAUUUUGCACUCUUAUUUUAUUCUGUGGUGACCACUGAAACAGUUCUUUCUAUCCACUGUAAAUGUGUAUUAUUCUUAAAAUGGAAAACCUUGAUCUUGUCAGUUGUGUGAUACUGUGAUCAUCUUCUCUCCUAUUCAGAGCUCUGAAGAUGAAUGGAAUUAUCUCCAUAAAAUUAUAAUCAUUUCAUAUCUCUGGGCUACAACUAUCCAUUUUGUUUAUGCAAUUCCUGCUGAUUUUAUCUGUGUUAGUGCUUGGCACUUCUGCAAAUUAGCAGACAGAUUGUGCAUUGCGUCCCUAACGAGGAGGAAUAUAAUGGAUGAUCACCUGUUUUUUUUAAGUUGGGUUCGAGGAAAUUACUUUGCUCAGAGGAAAUCAGCGACACUGACAUGAGUAGAAGCAGUUUUCUGGGACAAUAUCCAACUGCUUUCAUCCAAAAAGCUGUCCUUUCUUCAACACUUUGCCUCAUUCACUACGAAGCUUCCACAAUUGCAGCAAAUGAAGCAGAGAUCUUGCAGACAACUUUCAGCUUUGAUAUUCAGCCCCAGAGAAACCCCAGAGCAAUUCCAUCCUGUGCAUCAAUAAGGCAAGCAUCCCAUGUACAAUAUAUAUGCCCAGAGAGCAGAUAAAAAAUCUUCUGCCAAAAGUAAUAUUCUUUUUCCUAAUUUUCAGUGUUUGAAUUUGCAACUUUAAUAACCAUUUAAUGGGGAUGGGGGGUGGGAGGGAGCAGAGAGAGUUGGUUUUGUUUGGCUAAUUUCCCAACUAAACUGAAAAUGUAUGAAAAACAGAGUUCUGUUCAUCACAGUGGGAGGAUAUACAUAGGGCACUACCACCUGAGUGAACAGCAUAUCCAAGAGAUGUAGGAUCUAAGCACCCCUUGCACAGCCCAUGACUAGCAGGGGAUGAGACAGUGUUUGGCUUCCCACAGUUUUGCUGGGAGUAGAGACCUGGAGCCCACUAAGCUCUCAUUGAGGGAGUGAAGGAGAACCCUGGUAUUCCUAGUGGGAAUAAACUCUUUGCUCUGUUUCCUCA